UACGAAGGGGGCUAGCGUUGCUCGGAAUUACUGGGCGUAAAGCGCACGUAGGCGGCUUCUUAAGUCGGUGGUGAAAUCCUGGAGCUCAACUCCAGAACUGCCUUCGAUACUGGAAGGCUUGAAUCCGGGAGAGGGAUGUGGAAUUCCAGGUGUAGCGGUGAAAUGCGUAGAUAUCUGGAGGAACACCGGUGGCGAAGGCGACAUCCUGGACCGGUAUUGACGCUGAGGCGCGAAAGCCAGGGGAGCAAACGGG
rnacentral:rRNA from 1 species